rnacentral:pre_miRNA from 1 species
UUUGUACUCCCUCCGUCCCAAAAUUCUUGUCUUAAGUUUGUCUAAAUACGGAUGUAUCUAGUUACAUUUUAGUGUUAGAUACAUCCAUAUCUAAACAAAUGUAAGACAAGAAUUUUGGGACGGAGGGAAUACUAC